CAAGCAGAGUCUGUUAAUGGCCAGAUGCCCUUCCACACCCACAUCUCAUGUAUCCUCCCUGUAAAGUAUAUUAAAGAGGAAUUAGGAAGAGGAAGAGGAUGAGCAGCAGCAGGACAAACAAUUGGACAGGUCAGGAGGAACAUCAAUAUACACGUCAAAGGCAACGGCACAAAAGGCCUUGAAAGACUUUUUAAAGAAGAGAAAAGGAUGGUUACAUCUUCAAAAGCAUCAGUGGGGAUGAGGAAGAGCUGGGAGAGCAGGCAGGUCCCUAAUCUGUACUGCCAGGAUUUCAGCAGCUUCAGUAACCACCACAGCAACCGCCACCACUGCUGCCUCUUCUGGAGGAAGGGAUGCGGUAUGCCAUUAUCCCACCGCAACCGAAACCACCGGGCGAGCAAGGCAUGCAACAGCAUGGGCUGCAGCAGCCAUAGCCCUGCAUGCGGCCGCAACAGGGCAUGCAACAGCCCAUGGAGCCAUGGAAUUUCCACAAGGGACGCAGAUAAUGGUGGUUCCAUCCGAGCCGCCUCCGCCGCCGCCGCAGUUACAGCCACAUCCGCCAUACAUGGUUGCAGGUGGAAAGUCUGAAAAAAAUAAUGGAUCACAAGUGAACAUCAAGUUGUCUCUUUUCCACCGGUAUCAGCAAGCUCCUUCGUGCCCUCACUAAUUCAAUGGAAUUGGGGGGCAUUCAUUGUUGCAGACUUUACUCAACUAACAAUGAAUCCCUUUUCCCUUGUCU